rnacentral:rRNA from 1 species
GACGUAGGGCGCAAGCGUUGUCCGGAUUUAUUGGGCGUAAAGGGCUCGUAGGCGGUUUGUCGCGUCGGGAGUGAAAACCUCGGGCUUAACUCGGGGCUUGCUUUCGAUACGGGCAGACUAGAGGUAUGCAGGGGAGAACGGAAUUCCUGGUGUAGCGGUGAAAUGCGCAGAUAUCAGGAGGAACACCGGUGGCGAAGGCGGGUCUCUGGGCCGAUACUGACGCUGAGGAGCGAAAGCGUGGGGAGCGAACAGG